UUUGUUAUUAUUACGGCCAGAAACGAGAUAUCACGUUGAAUCAAAGCAAUGUAUGCAAAAAAAGCACUUCGAAGGUAGUAGAAAAGAAAACUUUGAAGAAGGGGACAUAAUAAUGGCAAAGGAUUUUCGAAAACAUCACCCGAAAAUGUCGGAAGCCAGAAUUGUUAGAAAAUCACCUCCAAGAAACUGUAUAAUAAAAUUUAAGGAAGGAGGAGAGAAAGAGCACAAAAGACAUUUCGAUCAAAUACGACAUUGGCGGAAAAGCGAAAAUGAUCAAAGUAAAAUAUGUGUUAGUACUAAUGUGCGAGAUAAUGUAAGCAGCGAAAAUUCGGCGAUAGUUUUGAGAAAAUCAAAUAGAUUAAAGCAAAAUGUAACACCAUACGAUGCUACGCAUUAUUUGUAAAGGUAUAAUGUCUAUCAACUUUGAUAACUGAAUAAAACGGGGAAGGGUGUAAGAUGUGUGAUGUACAAAUGUGUACGAAUGUGUGUAUCUAUAACGAUAGUAUAGAAUGUGAGAAGGCAGGCAAUAAAGGCAGUCGGUCCUGAACCGUAACAGAGUGUAGUCGUCUUUAUUUACCUCUUUCUCGCAUACACAAUACCAAAGCUUUUAGGUUCCAGGGGAAGUAUGGUUGCAAAGCUGAAACUUAAAGGAAUUGACGGAAGGGCACCACCAGGAGUGGAGCCUGCGGCAUAUUUUGACUCAACACGGGAAACCUCACCAGGCCCGGACACCGRAAGGAUUGACAGAUUGAGAGCUCUUUCUUGAUUCGGUGGGUGGUGGUGCAUGGCCGUUCUUAGUUGGUGGAGCGAUUUGUCUGGUUGAUUCCGAUAACGAACGAGACUCUAGCCUGCUGAGUAGGCGUACCUUCCGGUAUCUCGAAGGUCUCCGGCCUCGGUCGGGCGGUUUUCACUACCGGCGUACAAAUAAAUCCUCUCAGAGGGACAGGCGGCUUCUAGUCGCACGAGAUUGAACAAUAACAGGUCUGCGAUGCCCUUAGAUGUUCUUGGCCGCACGCGCGCUACACUGAAGGAAUCAGCGUGUCUUCCCUGGCCGAAAGGCCCGUGUAACCCGCUGAACCUUCUUCGUGCUAGGGAUUGGGGCUUGCAAUUAUUUCGCACGAACGAGGAAUUCCCAGUAAGCGCGAGUCAUAAGCUCGCGUUGAUUACGUCCCUGCCCUUUGUACACACGCCGCUACUACCGAUUGAAUGAUUAAGUGAGGUCUUCGGACUGGGACGCGGCAAUGUCUCGGCAUUGCCGAUGUUGCCGGGAARAUGACCAAACUUGAUCAUUUAGAGGAAGUAAAAGUCGUAUCAAGGUUUCGUAGGUGAACCUGCGGAAG
rnacentral:rRNA from 1 species